CCUACGGGUGGCAGCAAUGAGGAAUAUUGGUCAAUGGACGAGAGUCUGAACCAGCCAAGUAGCGUGAAGGAUGACUGCCCUAUGGGUUGUAAACUUCUUUUAUAUGGGAAUAAAAUGUUCCACGUGUGGGAUUUUGUAUGUACCAUAUGAAUAAGGAUCGGCUAACUCCGUGCCAGCAGCCGCGGUAAUACGGAGGAUCCGAGCGUUAUCCGGAUUUAUUGGGUUUAAAGGGAGCGUAGGUGGAUUGUUAAGUCAGUUGUGAAAGUUUGCGGCUCAACCGUAAAAUUGCAGUUGAAACUGGCAGUCUUGAGUACAGUAGAGGUGGGCGGAAUUCGUGGUGUAGCGGUGAAAUGCUUAGAUAUCACGAAGAACUCCGAUUGCGAAGGCAGUUCACUGGACUGCAACUGACACUGAGGCUCGAAAGUGUGGGUAUCAAACAGGAUUAGAUACCCGAGUAGUC
rnacentral:rRNA from 1 species